rnacentral:tRNA from 2 species
AGGCUGAUAAAUGGGACCCGGACUGACUCUUAAUCAGCGGGUCCCAGGUUCGAGCCCUGGUGCGCCCACCA